rnacentral:tRNA from 1 species
UAGGUAGAAGCUCGCUGGUUUGGGGCGCCUAGCUGUUAACUAGGAUUUUUAUGGGAUCGAGGCCCAUCUAUCUAG